UGAUUUAUAGAAAUAAGGAGGUGGUGGUGAAGGAGAAGGUGGAGGUGGUGAUUUGUAGUAGUAAGGUGGUGGCGGAGAGGGAGAUGGAGGAGGUGGAGACUUGUAGUAGUAACGAGGUGGAGGAGAUGGUGAUGGGGGUGGUGGGGACUUAUAGUAGUAUGGAGAAUGUGGUGAUGGAGAGGGUGAUGGUGGUGAUUUGUAGUGGUAAGGUGGAUACUCAUGCUGGUAAUACGGUGGUGGAGGUGGAGAUGCAUAAAUGUAAGGCUUGUCGUCUGCAGCUACAUUACUGGCUAUCAAGCAAAACGCCAAAGCAAAAACUAGAUGAGGCCAAAAAUUGGCCAUUUCCAGCAACCCUUAAGUCUGAUCCCCAAAAUGCAGGACUUCUACCUCAAAACUUCUAUAGAAGGAACUUGUGAAUGACUGGAAACGAGGGGCUCUGCAGAGCAUUUAUAGUGAUCUUUUGAGUAAGUGCAGCAUUUGUUUAAUAGUUGUUGAAAGCUUCCAACUUGUAAAAUACCUAACAAUUUGAAAAAGUAUCCCAAGUUAUUCAAGUAUUUGACAAUAUGUCAUGGGAUUCCACUACUCUCUUGAUGGAUUAGAUGCACUAAAGAUACAUGUCUAAGAAGAGGUCAAAAGAACUAAUGUGAGAAAAUUUCAGGGUCUCAGAAAAUCUUCCAUGUAGCCAUGCCAAAUGGAUGCCAGCAGCUAGCCUGCCGGCCAUCAGCUGACAAGUACAACAGCUAGGGCCAGCCGGUGGAUUAUUAAUAAUGAUAAUUGUAGGUCUUGGAUCUCACAUAGACUUGGUCUUCCUACCAAAUAUCAAGAACUUGGACACAUAUGUACAGAAUAUUUGGCAUAAAGCUGAAAAAUCAUUCCAACAAUGAAGUUGGUUGAUGUUAAUUAAGUCUAGAAAUUUAAUUUACUGAAAAAUCUUUCUACUCUUUGUUCUUCUCUUCUAUAUAUUAAUUUGUCUUCUAUUUCAGCCAUGAAUUCUUUGAAAUUUUCUUCGACUAACAUAUAUAUAUAUAUAUAUGGGCAAUUUUUUUUCCUUUUCUACAUUUAAAUUUCCAGUCAUUGGUAUAACUACAAUAUGCAAUACUGGGUAUGAAUCAUGAACAAGAUUAACAUUCUAGCUGCUUUUGUCUGGUUUGGUCCAUGCAAAGGUACCUGUGAUUAUCAAGUUUUCAAUAUAAGUUAGUUUAGCUUGUCUUUUAUGUUCAUUAAAAAGACCAGUUCCAAACCUCUAGCCAAUAAAAUAGAUGCAGUGACAAUCAAAAAGUCAUUUGUGAAGAAGAAGAUAGGGUGAUGAGGCAUGAAAUGUUCAAGGACAUACUAGUUAGAUUUCUUUUAGUUUUUGUAUCCUUUUCUAGGAUUCCUUGUCAGUUACAUUGAUUUGGUAUAUUGUAUGUAAAGAGAAAUUUGAUGACAUCUCCAAUGGGAAUCAGUUGCCAUCGGCACUUGUCUUUCCCAUUAUAAAGCAAAUUAACCAAGUCAAGAUGAAGCUUGGUUGUCCUACACCAUUAUCUGCCAUCAAUUAAUUAUAUUCCAAGUUGAUUGAAAUGAUUAUACUAGUUAACGAGAUCGCUCCAUUUAUAUUCGGACAGUGCUUGCCAUCACUAUCUGAAAUGGAACUAUUAGAUAAGAAAUUUGUUGAGGCCAUUUAGCUACAGCUUACAUACAAUGUCAAAUAUGAAAUUUUUGCCAUCACUAUCAGUCCACAUUCAUACAAACUGUUUAAAUGCUAGCUAGGAAGAAGCUACUUAGAGAUCUUGUUCAUUUUGAAAUACAAAUUUUAACUGGAAAAUUCAUCAUGAUGUGCUUGAGAUAUGAAUAUAUAGGUUUAUAGAUUAUUUAAGGAUUUCCAUUAUUCUGACUAAUUCUGCCAGAAGUUCUCCAUUGUCUCCCUAUAGCUAGUUUGUAUUCUCUUUUUUUUUGUUUAAAUAUUUUAGGAGAAGGUUUUAACAAGGCAAGUUUCACCCUAAUAUGACAAAAGCAAGAAGAUGAACCUACUUCGGUUGCAGACAAUAUUAUUGUACUAGAUUUUUGGGCUACUAAUGGCUUAUUAGCCUUUAGGAGGCUUUCAAUCCUGGAACAUUGAAUUAAUUUAUAGGUUUUAAACCUAUUAUUUUCUGUUUCAAUGACAUUUAAGAUUUUAGUUAUUUGAAAAUUGGGAUAAGCUUUAUGGCUAAGUUGGAAGAGCUUUUAUAAAAACUAGAAGAAGUCAUAAUGUUCCUUCAUUUUGUACAUAAAUUUUAUGUAUUCAUUAUGAUACAUAUCUUUUUCUUCUUCAAAAAAGGUUUCAAGAAACCAUUUUCUAGCUUUGGAAUUUUUCUUAGAAUAGAAAUGCUCUUUAAGCAGUUCUUUAUUUAUCUCAACGUUAUUAACUUGUAUCACCAUUGGGUGAUUGAUGUCUGCAUAGCCAAUGCCGAACAAAGUGGGAGUUCCUAAUCUCCUAGAGGAUGCUUCAAAUGGUGGGAUUUCGACCCUAUAUAUUGGUUUAUUAAUGUGGUUAGAACUUUCCCAAACUCCUUCGCAGGUUUCCUUCCUCGAAAUUUGUAUUGGAACCGAAGAUGUAGACCUUCUCAAAGAUGGUCUAGAUGACUCUUUAGUCUCUAUCUUUAUAUUUCUAGAAGGAAAUCUUAUUUAUACUUAGUCAUCUUUAUGCUCAAUGAUAUUAGAAGGUUUCAUAGAAACAGGAACUUCAACUGGAACAACAUCUAGUAAUUUCUAAAUUUCAAAACCUCAAUAUCUUCCCAUCUAACCUUCUAUGGGACAAACACUUUUAAUUUUAAAAUAUUUGUUUGAAAUAGGGUAGUUUCUCUCCUUUUAUCCUUUAAGGCUUUCUCUAGCCUAACAUUAGGACUAAUUGUUGUCAUGGUUUUACAAAAUAUUCUUUAAAUUAGCACCAUAUUUUGGGCUAACAGAUUCAUAUCAAAACCAAUGGUUUUAAUAUUUAGGGUUAAAACGUCUAGAAUAAUUGGAUCAAUAAGAGAGAUAGAAAAAUUUGGGAAACAGUUAAAAUAAACUAAUCCCUAUGUUACUAACCCUAACAAAGAAUCCAAAUAUUGGUUGUGCUUGGUAUCUCUUAAGCUUAUAAGCACUGAGUUAUUAAGCCCUUCUCUAGUUAGAAGCUUAAUAGCUAUUUGCACUAGCCCUAAAUGAAGGAAUUUAUAAUCUUCUUGGGCUUUUUCUAUUAUCCUUCUAGGUAAUAGUUUGAAUGUCGUCUGUUUUUUAAUAAUAGCAAGAAUUUCUUCUACUGUUUGAUAUGAUAAUCUGAACGGAAUUCAUAAGUUCCUCUAUUACAGACUAAUUUAGAGGAUGCAUGUUUUGGGAAUCAUCCAGUUUUGAAGAUGAUCCUUUAUAUCUGCUAUAGAAACAAUUUUUUAUUUUUAGAAGAUAGUCUUAAGGUAAAAAAAGAGCAAAAUAAAUUGGCUAUGAUGAGAGGAGUCAAGAAUAUCUAAACUUCAAAAUUAAAGCUCUCUGUAGGAUCGGACAACGAUUAAUAUUGCUAUACUACCCUUCCUGGGUCUGACUAGGCUAUGUGUCAAAGUCCAAAGAGUAACCCUUCAAUAUGAGAUAUUAUCUCUCCCUAACUGACUCUGAUACCAUUCUAGCCUAGAAUAUACAUAUAUAUGUAUAUAAUUAAACAUAAUUAAACAGUAAGCAUACUUAGACAGUUUCAAAUAUAGUCGAACAUAUACUAGCAAAUCAAUAAGGAAUAAAGAGAAAUCUUAUAAGAAACCGAGGGGAAUCUUACACUCAAAAGGACAGAGGAGUUGUUACAAGCCUAUACUUUAAUUCACCGAGCACCCUCACAUGAACACCCAAAAGAUCACUUCAAACACUCAGGCAUACACUCAGAAGCUUAGUAAGGAAUGAUUCCUUAGUAAGAAAAGAGUAAAUAAAAAAUUUAAUAUAAAUUAAAGACUAAAUAAACAAGGCCUCAUCCUCAGCUUUAAAUAAUUUUUUUUUAAUAUAAUUAAGACAAAUUUUGAAUAUUUGAAAUUUCAACUGAUCACAGAUCAGGCAUCCUUGAAGGCUAUCAGUCACUUGACUACUUCUAGAUGAGUUAUAAAAUUGCUUGAGAAAUUAUCUGCUUUAGCCAGUUAAUUUCUAGGCAAAUGUUCAACAGGUUACUCAGAAUACCCUCCAUAAUAGAAUGAGCCGAGUCGAAAGCACUAAUUAUACUAGAGAUACAUGCAAUAUGGGUAUAAAUAAAAGUGAAUACUGUGAACCCUUUGAGCAGUGAAGGAAAAAAAAAUGGUCUCAGAACCUUUCGAGUCCUUAAGAGACUUAGAAAUUUUGCAAGGAUCGAUACUUAAAUUAAUGAGCCAAAUUUGAAUAUUGAUGGAAAAGCACAUCAAAGCUAGUAACUUAGCCAUGGCCAGCAUGCAUCAAAGCUUGCUGGCAUUAGAAAUGUACUAUGAUGGAAACUGCCGUGAAGCAGCACUACUAGAUGCAGCUUAACAAUGUUUCACAUGUUGAAACUCUCUGCGGGCUUUGCUCAACUUGCGAGCCACGCAUUUCUAUAUUUUCAAUUUCUAAUUGUUUACUCUGGGCUUUUUGCUCAUAAAUGAAGUUUUGCCUUUGAUCCAUCUGGGGCACAUUCUCACAUUCAAAUCACUGCAAAAAUUCCUUUUUAUUUCAAUAUCAGUAACAUAAUUUGUAGACAGUGAAUGGAUAAACACGAUCCUGAGGAAAAAAAUCAAUCGUAAUAUACUUAGAUUCAUGACUCAUGAAUACAAAUAAAAUCAAAAUCACAUGAAGAAAGGCAAAGAAGCAUCCAUGGGCUUUGACCCUUAUUCUGAACGCCAUUGUCUUCUUUGAGUUUAACUGGUCGUCAAUGUAUCCCCAAAGAACAUGUGGCUCCUUCUUUUAUUAAUUACUUUUCUAUCAACCAAUGAGCUGCAAAAAAGAUAAUAAAAACAUUAAUUUCAUAAAAAUAAUAAAAACCAGGAGUGAAUAAGCUGAAACAUAAGUGUUAUGCUUACAUAAAACAAGUAGAAAUGGCCGAUCUUUUAGUAAUGGUAUGGAGGUGGUGGUGAUGGAGAAGGUGGAGGUGGAGACUUGUAGUAGGGUGGAGGGGGUGAGGGAGAUGGUGGUGGUGGAGAUUUGUAGUAAUAAGGUGGGGGAGGUGAUGGAGAAGGUGGUGGUGGAGACUUAUAAACAUAUGGAGGAGGAGGUGAUGGAGAUGGUGGUGGUGGGGAUUUGUAAAUGUAAGGAGGCGGAGGUGAUGGAGAAGGUGGUGGUGGGGANNNNNNNNNNNNNNNNNNNNNNNNNNNNNNNNNNNNNNNNNNNNNNNNNNNNNNNNNNNNNNNNNNNNNNNNNNNNNNNNNNNNNNNNNNNNNNNNNNNNGAUGAAGAAGAUGGUGGUGGUGAUUAAUAGAAAGAAGAAGGAGGUGGAGAUGAAGAAGGUGGUGGUGGAGAUUUAUAAAUAUAAGGAGUAGGAGGUGAUGGUGAUGGAGGAGGUGGGGAUUAAUAAACAUAUGGAGGAGGUGGUGAUGGUGAAGGUGGUGGUGGUGAUUUAUAAAUAUAAGGAGGAGGAGGUGAAGGAGAUGAAGGAGGUGGAGAUUUGUAAACAUAUGGAGGUGGAGGUAAGGGAGAUGGUGGUGGAGAUUUGUGAAUAUAAGGAGGGGGAGGUGAUGGUGAUGGAGGAGGUGGGGACUUAUAGAUAUAUGGAGGAGGUGGUGAUGGUGAAGGUGGUGGUGGUGAUUUGUAGAUGUAAGGUGGAGGAGGUGAAGGAGAUGGAGGAGGUGGUGAAUUGUAAACAUACGGAGGAGGAGGUGAGGGAGAUGGUGGUGGUGGUGAAUUGUAAACAUACGGAGGUGGAGGUGAGGGAGAUGGUGGUGGUGGGGAUUUAUAAAUGUAAGGAGGGGGAGGUGAUGGUGAUGGAGGAGGUGGAGACUUGUAAACAUAAGGAGGANNNNNNNNNNNNNNNNNNNNNNNNNNNNNNNNNNNNNNNNNNNNNNNNNNNNNNNNNNNNNNNNNNNNNNNNNNNNNNNNNNNNNNNNNNNNNNNNNNNNNNNNNNNNNNNNNNNNNNNNNNNNNNNNNNNNNNNNNNNNNNNNNNNNNNNNNNNNNNNNNNNNNNNNNNNNNNNNNNNNNNNNNNNNNNNNNNNNNNNNNNNNNNNNNNNNNNNNNNNNNNNNNNNNNNNNNNNNNNNNNNNNNNNNNNNNNNNNNNNNNNNNNNNNNNNNNNNNNNNNNNNNNNNNNNNNNNNNNNNNNNNNNNNNNNNNNNNNNNNNNNNNNNNNNNNNNNNNNNNNNNNNNNNNNNNNNNNNNNNNNGAGGAGGUGGUGACUUGUAAUAGUGGGAGUGGAGGAGAUGGAGAUGGUGGCGGGUGGUGAUUUAUAGAAAUAAGGAGAUGGUGGUGAAGGAGAAGGUGGAGGUGGUGAUUUGUAGUAGUAAGGUGGUGGCGGAGAGGGAGAUGGAGGAGGUGGAGACUUGUAGUAGUAACGAGGUGGAGGAGAUGGUGAUGAGGGUGGUGGGGACUUAUAGUAGUAUGGAGAAUGUGGUGAUGGUGGUGAUUUGUAGCGGUAAGGCGGAUACUCAUGCUGGUAAUAAGGUGGUGGAGGCGGAGAUGCAUAAAUGUAAGGCUUGUCGUCCGCAGCUACAUUACUGGCUAUCAAGCAAAACGCCAAGGCAAAAACUAGAUGAGGCCAAAAAUUGGCCAUUUCCAGCAACCCUUAAGUCUGAUCCCCAAUAUGCAGGACUUCUACCUCAAAACGUCUGUAGAAGGAACUUAUUAAUGACUGGAAACGAGGGGCUCUGCAGAGCUUUUAUAGUGAUCUUCUGAGCAAGUGCAGCAUUUGUUUAAUAGUUGUUGAAAGCUUCCAACUUGUAAAAUACCUAACAUUUUGAAAAAGUAUCCCACGUUAUUAAAUUAUUUGACAACAUGUUAAGGAUUCCACUAUAGACUAAAUAUACAUGUCUAAGAAGAGGUCAAAAUAACUAAUGUGAGAAAAUAUCAGGGUCUCAGAAAAUCUUCCAUGUAGCCAUGUCAAAUGGAUGCCAGCAGCUAGCCUGCCGGCCAUCAGUUGACAACGAUAGCUAGGGCCAGCCGGUGGAUUAUUAAUAAUGAUAAUUGUAGGUCUUGGAUCUCACAUAGACAUUUGUCUUCCUACCAAAUAUCAAGAGCUUGUAUACAUAUUUACAGAAUAUUUGGCAUAAAGUUGAAAAAACAUUCCCAGAGUGAAGUUGGUUGAUGUUAAUAAAGUCUAGAAAUUUAAUAUACUGAAAUUGUAUAUAACUAGAUAUAAAUCAAUAACAAUAUAGAUAAAUGUAUGCUUUUUAUGUGGAUUUUUUUUUUGAGAGCCAAAAAAUCAUAAAUUAAUCAAUGGAUUAAUUUCUUUGUGCCCUUUGUUCUUCUCUUCUAUAUAUUAAUUUGUCUUCCAUUUCAGCCAUGAAUUAUUGAAAUUUUCUUCUAUAUGUUUUCCUUUUCUACAUUUAAAUUUCUAGUCAUUGGUAUAACUGCAUUCUAGCUGCUUUUGUCUGGUUCGGUCCAUGUAUAUGUACCUGUGAUUAUCAAGUUUGUCAAUAUAAGUUGGUUUAGGUUGUUCUUUUAUGUUCAUUAAAAGGACCGGAUCCAAACCUCUAGCCAAUAAAAUAGUUGCAGUGACAAUCAAAAAGUCAUUUGUGAAGAAGAAAAUAGGGUGAUGAGGUAUGAAAUGUUCAAAGACAUACUACUUAAUAUAUUUUUAUCGAUCUGCCAUCAAGUUGGUUGAAAUGGUUAUAAUAGUUAACUGGAUGGCUCCAUGUAUAUUCGGACAAUGGUUGCCACCACUAUCUGAAAUGGAACUAUAAAAUAAGAAAUUUGUUGAGGCCAUCUAGCUACAACUUAUAUACAAUGUCAAAUGUGAAUUAGGUUAGUUGUUCUACACCAUUUUUGCCAUCACUAUCAGUCCACAUUCAUACCAUCCAUUCAGGUGCCAGCUAGGAAUUAGAAGCUACUCGGAAAAUUCAUCAUGAUGUGCUUGAGAUCGAGACAUGAAUCGAUAGGUUUUUAGAUAUUUAAGGAUUAUUUAAUGUUUUUUUUUGUUAAUAAUUAAACCGAAUAAUUAUAAAUGGGGAGUACUCAUUUGCUAAACAGCAUUCUGAAUAAGCUAAGUUCUAGUUAGUUUGUUACUCUCUUCUUCCGGAUGCUAGUCGAUAGAUGAAAAUAGGGCCUUUGAUUCAGCAAGUAAGAAGUUAUGCUAACAAGCCAGAUUGAUUUAAAUGAUAAAGUAAUAACAGUGUACAGUAACAGCAAAAAGAAAGUAGGGAACUUGGUUUAGAAUUUUGCUUUCAAUAAGAUCCAAAUAGGAAGUUUUUUCGCUUCUAAAGUUGCAUUCAAGAACAUGGAGUUUCUAGUACUUAUCAGAGUCAUCCUUGAAGACCAUACUAUAGCCUGAUGGGCAAGAUAUCAUUACUUUCAUUAGUUAAUUUCUAAACUAGUAUGGAAGAUAUCAGUAGGCAGUUUGCUCUCCAUAUUAUAAUACUAUGUAUGAAACGCACCUCCAAAUUGAGGUUUGUUUUGUUUUUAAUAGGAAAAACUUUAAUUAACAAGGAAAAUUACUUGUAGCGAUGAGUAUAUGAAGUCAGGAUACAUUUUUCCCAUCAAGCCCAGGUAAAGAUCAAAGGUCUAGAGCACCCAAUCCAGCAGAAAAAUUCCAAAAUAAAAAUAAAAAUAAUUAGAUGAAAAAAUAUAUCAUUAAUUUCUUAAUGCUCAUUCCAAGCUUGAUAUGACUAGCUAGUACUGAGAUUAUUUAAGCAAUUUUUUAGUGCCUACUUUGAAUUUGGGAGGAGGAGACAGUGCAAGGAGAUAUAUAUUCUAGAGAUCCUUGAAGUUUGAAAUCUUCUUUCACUUAUUGCAAAAUGGUUAGGAUAUGUUGGGAUAGUGAGUCUUGUAUAGUUUGUUUAUUGGCAAUUUUGUUCCUUUUCAUUCUAACUUAGGAAUCUUUUUAGAUAUUGAUUUACUCUCCAUUGAAGAUUCAAGGUUAAAGACACUACUAUUCGUAUGACUCUUUCCUUGGCAUUGAGUCAAUAUUGGUCUAUAAGGGAACUUGAUGUUCAUGCCACCUUUCUUAAUGGUGACUUGUUUGAGCAAGUUUUCAUGACACAUGGUUGAUUCUAUAUGUAUAUAUAUUGCAUGUAAUGAGGGUAAAAAUCACAUCUUAGCUUAUAUUUUAGCACUAAACUCAUUCCCCAAGUAGUCAAUUGUAUGGUACCUUAUAUAUGCCCAAUUUUCUCACAUUUCCUUUUAUUUGUUGAUGUUUACAACUGCUUUCAUGAAUAAUGAUAGUCUUGAGAUCCUCUUAGGACAUUUUGUAGGCAAGAACAAUGUAUGAGUAGAGAAGGGUUACAGUCACAUGAAGAUCAAUGGUGUAGUCCUAUUUUGACUAGUCCAAAGUUUGAGGAUGGUUAAGGGGGUUAGAAAUGUUUAAAUGAACUCAAAUAAAAAUUUUCACAUUCUAGGCUCUUUAAUGAUCAAUCUCACCAAUUUUGAAAAUAUUUGGACAUCACUUGCCUAUGUAGAAAAAUUGAAAAAAAAUUGGUAAAAGAUUGGAGAAGCGUUGAAGGAGUUAAAGAGCUUUUUGGAAAAAAUGGCUCUAGGAUGGUGCCACCACAAGUUCAGACGUCAUUUCCUUUCUACCCUAGCUCCAUUUUGAGAAAAAGAAGCCUACCUACUAGAAACAAUGGCAUCAAGAUGACACUACCUUAUUACCUUGCACCAUUUUCUCCAAAACUACUAUCAUUUGUUUUAGAACUCUGAGAACAUCCAGGACCCACAUUUUUAUUGGACUUUUUCCAAGCCACCAUUGGACCUUCCACCUUGUAUUUUAUGCCUUCAUAUGUUAUGCCACUUAGGGCAAUGUGGGAGUACUUAUUUAAAGAGAUUUUACAAUUGGAGAAGGGGAUUUUGGGGGAAGGCCCUUUGGUGAGGAGCUCUUCUUCAACUUCCAACCUUGGGACUUGUUGCUACUUGAAUCUUCAUAAUGUUUUUUAGCCUUUAAGAGUUUUUUAACAUAUUAAACUCCUUUAUCUUGAUUGUGUUUGCAUUUAGUUAUAUUUAUUCUCCAAUUUUGUAUAACUUUGAAGUUUAAUCUUGGAUUUCAAUGGUUCUUAUUUCAUGUUUUGUUUUUUAAUAUUUAUUUUAAUUCAAUUUUCAUUUUGAGUAAUGGAUUAAGCUGAGGAGAAGGGGGUCCUUAGGACUUCCCUUAUGCCCAUGAUAUGAUCCUUUAAUCUUAGGUAAUUAAUUAUUUAUUCAACUUGUAAGUCAAACCUCUCCAUUUUUAAUUAGAAUACCACGUCUUGAUGAUUGAAAAUUAGAGUUUAGGGGUCCUCUUUAAGGAUAUCUCUCAAGUACUUAAUGGUGAGAUUCAUUUUAACUUGAGGCAACCAUUAUUGAGCUCUUAAUACUACAAUUUGGAAAACAAAUGAGUUGUGGGGUCUUUAAGAAUUUCACAUAGUGGUUCAACUCUCAAGUUUGAAGCAUUAGGUUUAAUUAAAUGUGCUUGUGUUGAAAAUUCUCCAACUGAGAAUGCCUAUAGAUAAUCUUGGUUGUGGUAGCUUAAUUAGGGUCUUUUCAUGGAAGGGAGCUUAAGAGACCCUCCUAUCCUUAGCACUUUUUUUUUUUUUUCAAAUCUUAUAAAGUCAAAUUUCAAUUCAAAUUCACUUGGUUUUUCCUCUAUUUUCCAUAAAAUUCAUCAUUUUUUUUCUUUUUUUCUUUUUUCAAGCAAUUGAGUGAAAGAGUUUGCCUAAAAAAAAAAUUUACUUAUCCUUUGAUCUUUUCAAUUCCCUUAUACACCUAAGACACCUCGUGAUCAACAUUCAAUUCAUUGGGAUUUUAAAACUACAAUCAACUCCCUAUAUUUGGGGAACCCCACUUUGGUAUGCAUAUUUGGAAGCAGUCAACACAACCCCUUAGUUUUGCAGGUCCUUCCCAACCCAAUUUUGUUUGCAAACUUACCAAGGCGUUCCAUGGUUUAAAGUAGGCUCUAUGGGCUUAGUUUACCAAGCUUAGUUCUGCCUUAGUUGAAUGAGGUUUUUCUCAACUUGAGAGCCACUUAUUUCUAUAUGUUUGAUUUCUUAUUGUUUUCUAUGUGGGCUUUGCUCACGAAUGAUUAUUAUAGAUAACCCUCGGUGAAGUUUUGCUUUUGAUCCAUCCGGUCAUAGCCAUAUAUUCGUGUGUUCAAAUCAAUGUAAAAAUUCCUUUUUAUUUCAAUAUCACUAACAUGCUAAGCAAACAGUGAAUGAAUAAAUAUCAUCCAGCAUAAAAAAAUCAAGAGAAAUAUUACUUAGAAUCAUGACUCAUGAGUACAUAUAAUAUCAAAGCCACGAGCAUGAAAAAAAGGCAAAGAAUCUUGCAUCCAUGGGUCAAAACCCUUAUUCUUAACGCCAUUGUCAUCUUUAAGGUUAAGUGGUCAGCAAUGUGCCUCCAAAGAACAUUUGGCUCCUUGUAUCAAUUACUCUUUCUAUCAACCAAUGAGCUGUAACAAAGAUUAUAAGAAUAUAAAUUCCAUAAAAAUGAUAAAAACCAUGAGUGAAUAAGUUGAAAUCUAAGUGUUAUACUUGCAUAAAACAAGUAGAAAUAGAUUAUUUUUUUUAGUAAUAGUAGGGAGGUGGUGGUGAUGGAGAAGGUGAAGAUGAAGACUUGUAGUAAUAGGAUGGAGGGGGCCAGGGAGAUGGUGGUGGAGGUGAUUUGUAGUAAUAAGGUGGGGGAGGCGAUGGAGAAGGUGGUGGUGGAGACUUAUAGACAUAUGGAGGAGGAGGUGAUGGGGAUGGAGGUGGUGGGGAUUUAUAAAUGUAAGGAGGCGGAGGUGAUGAAGAAGGUGGUGGUGGGGAUUUGUAGACAUAUGGAGGAAGUGGAGAUGGAGAGGGUGGUGGUGGUGAUUUGUAAAUAUAAGGAGGGGGAGGUGAUGGUGAUGGAGGAGGUGGUGAUUUAUAGACAUAUGGAGUAGGUGGUGAUGGUNNNNNNNNNNNNNNNNNNNNNNNNNNNNNNNNNNNNNNNNNNNNNNNNNNNNNNNNNNNNNNNNNNNNNNNNNNNNNNNNNNNNNNNNNNNNNNNNNNNNNNNNNNNNNNNNNNNNNNNNNNNNNAAAUCUGAUCCCCAAAAUGCAGGACUUCUACCUUAAACGUCUUGAAAGAACUUGUGAAUGACUGGAAACGAGGGGCUCUGUAGAGUUUUUAUAGUGAUCCUUUGUGCAAGUUCAGCAUUUGUUUAAUACUUGUUGAAAGCUUCCAACUUGUAAACUACCUAAUAAUUUGAAAAAGUAUCCCACAUUAUUCAAGUAUUUGACAAUAUGUUAAUGGAAUUCCACUACUCUCUCGAUGAGUUAGCUACACAGAAUAUAUACGUCUAAGAAGAAGUCAAAAUAACUAAUGUGAGAACAUUUCAGUGUUUGGAACUUUGAUGUCUGAAACAUUUUCCAUGUAACCACGUCAAAUUAAUGGCAGGUGACAGUGAUAUCUAGGGCCAGGCCAAUAGUUUAAUAAUAAUACUUGAAGAUCUUGGAUCUCACAUGGGCAUUCGUAUUCCUACCAAAUAUCAAGAAUUUGUGAAUAUACAAAGCUGAAAAACCAUUCAAACAAUCAAGCUGAUUGAUGUCAAGUCUAGAAAUUUAAUAUACGGAAAAUGUACAUAACUAGAUAUGAUAAAUUUAUGCUUUUUAUGUAGUGGUAGGUUCUUUGAUCAAUUGCUUUUAACUCUUUGUUCUAUCAUGACCAAGAUUAACAUUAUAGCUGCUUUUGUCCGGACCGGUCCAUGUAAGUAUACAUACAUGUGAUUGUCAAGCUUUCAAGAUAAGUGAGUUUAGUUUGUUCUUUCAUGUUCAUUGAAAAGACCAUUGCCAAAACCAGUAGCCAAUAAAGUAGAUGCAGUGACAAUCAAAAAGUCAUUUGUGAAGAAGAAAUGUUCAAAGACGUAGUACUUAAUAUAUUUCUUUUAGUUUUUGUCUCAGUUCUUUUCUAGGAUUCCCACUAGAAAGCAAACCAAGUCAACAUGAAGCUCAGUUGUCUCUCACCGUUAUCUGCCAUCAAUUAAUUAUAUUCCAAGUUGAUGGUCGAAAUGGUCAUGUAUACUAGCUAACUAGAUUGAUCUCGAACCAUAUAUAAUUGGACAAAGCUUGCCAUCACCAUCUGAAAUGGAACUGUUAGAUAAGACAUUUGUUAAGGCCAUUUAGCUAAGCUUACAGCUUACAUACAAUGUCCAUUAAAUCAAGGUGAAACUCAAUUAAUUAAUCUCACAAUCCUUUCAGUCGAGAUUCAGUAUACUAGCUGACUGCUCAUUUAAGUGCUCGGAAGAGGCUACUUAGAGUUCUCAAUUUUUUUUUUUUUUUCUUUUUCGAGAUACAAAUUUCAGCCGGAAAAUUCAUCAUGAUAUGCUUGAGAUAUGAAUAUAUAGGUUUUGGCAUUAUUUGAGGAUUUGCUUCACAAAUGGUGUUCUCCCACUCAAGGCUUCUAUAGGAGUCUUGUUCCAUUCUGCCUUAGUUGGACAUCUGUCAAUCAAAUUCACUGCUAUAUAAACAGCUUCAGCCCAAUAAGUUUAAGGAAGUUUCUUCUCAUGUAGCAAUGACUUAGCCUCCUUGAAACUAGGCUCGAACUUAUAUAUGUGCCUACUUUAGUGACAGCAUUUUCUAUGCAAGAAUUGAAGUUCAUUUAAGUGCAAACUAAAGUGAGUAUCAUAUUUAUUCCAAGAAUUUUUAGAAGUACAAGUUAAUGAUUCAAAAAAAGAAUCCUUGCAGCAGUUUAGAGAGUCAAGAUCAAUACUCGGAUGCUCAAGUGUAACAUGCAUGCCACAUUUGUUUAUGAAGCACCAGCACUCUGAUAAAGUAAUAAAAGCCGAAGAACUUAAUCAUGACCAUCAAAGCUUGCAAGUAAAUCGAGAUGUAUACAUUGAUGGAAAAUGUCACUCAGCAGUAAUUCUGUAUUUUUUUCCAGUUUGCUGAUUUAAUUUCUUUUAUUUGUUGGCUCUGUAUACAAUAAGUUCCGGAUAAUCCUCAUGGAAUUUGUCUCAUAGAAAGUUUUCCAAGAAAAUCUCAUGUAGUUUACUGCAAAAAUUAACAUAAUUGUUAAAAUGAGAAAGUGAACAACAUUUGCAUGCUCUUGAUCAAUGAAUCCAUGUUUAGCACUUUAUGCCCACAUUCAGAUCAAUGUAAAUGUUCCAUUUGCUUCAAAUUCUGUGUCUUAAAUAGACAGCAAGUACACCAUUGGGGUACAAUGAGAGAACACAUCAGUGGAUAGAAAAUAUUUAGAGUGUACUCAUAAAUACAAAAUCAAUCAAAACAACAUGAAAAAAACUGCAAAGCGUCAUCAACCCUCUGUAAAGUUCCUUUGUUAUUUAACUGGUUCCUCUUCGUAUCAAUUUUUCUUUCCAUCAACCUAUGAGCUGCAAAACAGAAUAAGAUUAAUAAUUUAAUUGAUGAUAAUUGGAAGAAGUAAAUAAAAGAGAUUUGUAUAUUUUACUUACAAGAAACAAGCAAAAGUGGCUAUUUGAUUUAGUAAUAUGGAGGUGGUGGUGAUGGAGAGGGAGGAGGUGGUGACUUGUAGACAUAAGGGGGUGGCGGUGAUGGAGAUGGUGGUGGUGGUGAUUUGUAAAUAUAAGGAGGGGGAGGUGAUGGUGAUGGAGGAGGUGGUGAUGGUGAAGGUGGUGGAGGUGAUUUGUAGAUGUAAGGAGGAGGAGGUGAUGGAGAUGGAGGAGGUGGGGAUUUGUAAACAUAUGGAGGUGGAGGUGAGGGAGAUGGUGGUGGUGGGGAUUUGUAAAUGUAAGGAGGGGGAGGUGAGGAUGAUGGAGAAGAUGGAGACUUAUAAACGUAAGAAGGAGGAGCUGAUGGAGAUAGAGUAGGAGAUUUGUAAAUAUAAGGAGGUGGUGGUGAUUUGUAAUUAUAAGGAGGGGGAGGUGAUGGAGAGGGUGGAGGUGAUGGUGAUGGCGGUGGUGGUGGUGGUGAUGGAGAAGGUGGACGUGAUUUAUAGCGAUAAGGCGGAAAGUCGCGUUGAUAAUAAAGUGGUGGUGGAGACUUAUAAACAUAUGGUGGUGGAGGUGGAGAUGCAUAAAUGUAAGGCUUGUCAUCGGCAGCUACAUUGGAGCUGGCUAUCAAGCCCAAUGCCAACACAUAAACCAGGUGAGGCCAAAUAUUGGCCAUUUCUGGAAAUUCUCGAACAAUACACCAGAAAAGUUCCCUCCUGCAGCUUAGGACUCUACCUUAAGGAUGGAAGGGGGAAUCUGUGAAUGACUGCAGAGGAGGGGCUCAGAGAUUACAUAGUAAUCGCUUAGGAGACUUCCAACAUUUGUUUAAUGGUUGUUUGAAGCUUCCAACCUUUAACAAGUCCUACACUAAAAAAAAAAUCCCAGUUUAUUCAAACGCUUGGAAGUUGGAAUGGGAACCCACUAACUUCUAUAUGAAAAACAUAACACAUUUCUGUGUCCAAGAAAUGGUCAUCAAGAAGAGUAAAAUGUGCAAGAACAUAUCAACUUGAGCAGGUCUCCGGUGACGUAAAAUGGAAACAGUCAGCUGUCUGAAAUGUACUAACCAGGACUGUCCGGUGUGUGGAUUAAAAUAUGAUAAAGUUUGGAACCAUUGGACCUGGAUCAAUAUUAGUGGCAUUGACAUUAGCAUUCUUUCCAUUCUUUUAGCAUUUAUAAUCAUGGAAAAUAUUGUUGGUGCGUCAUAGUCUCAGCUUGUCAGAAUAGACCAUUAUCAUUUGAUUAUGUGUGGCUUGGGAUCAAUUAGUCAAGAACAUCCUUGGCACGUUGUGAUCUACAUAUAUGUUUCAUUUUUCCAUGUACACCAAGAAAAAAUGGUCUCCUCCUUUUUCAGAACUUUGUUCCUAAUUGACUUUGGCCAUAGAUUUAAAAAAAUUUCAAAGCAACAAAUAUGUUUUACCAGUUCUGUUUUUCCAUGGUUAAUGUUAUUGGGAUGAGAACGGUAUGCACUAAGCCAAAAGCCAGUGCCAAAUUUUCUACAAAUGCAUGCAAGCCUAAUUUAAAUCACCACAUAUUUUUUCAAUAGAAAUUCAUUUCUUGGAUGGUAUUCUCCUCUUUGCUAGCUUUACAAAAGAUUGGAUUUUCCUAUUUAACAUGAGCAAGAAUACUAUGAACACUUCAUUUCUUUUUCUCUUUCUCAUGAUUUUUUGUAAAAUGCUUUGGGUUGCCUCUCAUCCUUCAUCAUUGCAAUUAAUCAGAUUCCAAAGUUGAGCUGGUUAACUAGCUCACUCACUAAUGGAUUAUGUGACAGAUUUUGCAUUUUGUAGUCCUUCCUUCAAAAAAGGGUGCAUUCAAAUUGUAAAAAGAGCACUUCUAAGCCUCCCAAAAGCACUCUUAACUAAUGGGCUCUAAAGUAUAUUUUAUGGUGCUUUUGCAAAGACAGAAUGGAGAAAGGCUUAGUAAGAUUAUCCAUGGUUCUCCGAAUUCAGUUUUGUUUUCUCGACAAAAAGGUUAAUUAACAUGAAAAAAUAUUACUUGUAUAUAGAAAUGAGUAGAAGUAGUGGACCCUUUUUUUUCCAUUAGAUCUGAGUAAAGAUGAAAGUUAUUUGGCAAAAGGAAAGAAACGUCAUUAAUCUCUUAAAUAUCUUCUUCAUGCAUUUUGCUAGAUAAAGGAUUGAUGGGGCGGGCAACAAAGGGAGAUUAUUUAAGGAGAUUUUGUAAUAACUACUUUGGAAUUGGGAGGUUUAGAAAGUGGAAGAGAAAAUGUUCAAGGAAUUAUUCAUUCCUCAAAUCUUCAUCCAUUCCUUUGUAUAGGGUUUGCCUCUAAAGGUCAACAAAACUGUUCAAAGUGUCUUUGAUAACAAUUUUAGAAAGUGUUUUUAACGUUUGUAAUACUUAUAUAAAAAAAAUUUGGUAAGUAUUAAAAAUAUUAAAAACACAUCAUAAAAUCACUAUUAAAAGAACUUUUAAAAAUUUAUAUGAAAUUAAUCAAGUUAAAUAAAGACAAGUUCUAACCUGUGGACAUAUAUGUAGAACUAAGGUCUUAGAACUGGUGAUGAUGCUAGAGAUUGCAAUCACAACUCACAACCAAAGAUCAUACAUGCUUGAAAGAAACAGAUUGAAAGGAAAUCUAUUUCAAUAUGGAUUAUAAAGUGUUUUUGUGGUUUAUAUAAAAAACAAUGACACUACAUGCAACUACAUAUGUACUUGCUUUAUAUGCUAACGACAUUAUUUAUAUGCUAGAUAUUAACUAGACACCAUCAAUCAGGUCUAUAUAUAUAUAUAUAUAUAUAUAUAUAUAUAUAUAUAUAUAUAUAUAUAUAUAUAUAUAUAUAUAUAUAUUAUUAUUUAUAUCCUUAUACUUUGAUCUCAUUUGUUUAUUUCUUCGUUCAACAACAUAAAUCUCAUCAUGCAUGUUUAAUGAUCCGGAUUUAGAGUUCAAUAGAUAUCACUAGGGUAGCUUAGGAUUUUCUUACCUAAAAUAACUAUAAGAAGUACUCAAAGAAAAAGAAAAUGAAUGAUCUAAAAGUGGAUCCCUUGCAACACUUCAAGGAGUCGAGAUUUGUACUUGGUUGGGCUUGGAAUUCUAAUAAUCCUAGUUGGCUGGGCACUUGGCUUUCUAAUAAUUCUAGUUGUCGCAUUAACGGAAACUGUACGUAACUCAACAGUAUGGACAAUUGAAAUGUUUAUGGAGUAUUGUUAAUCAAAGCUGCCAUGGGAAAAUCUUUUGUUUGAAGCCCUUCACUGAAAUAUUCAAUAAAUAUAGCUAGCGCCACUUUCCCUUAGAAAUAAUUCCCCCCAAUACCUUAAAUGGUAUGCAUAACUUCUUAUUCACUUUACACACCUAUUCAUCUUAAUUACCAAAUGCACCCACUUUCUUUUUUUAUUUUUAUUUUUUCUUUUAACUCAUUUUUUUAUAUUUAAAUUUUGGUAUUAAUCAAAUAUUAAUUUUAAUUUUUUUAAUUAUUUAAAAAAAUUACCAAAUCAGUUAAUGAAUUUAAUGCAUUAGCUCUCAAUUGAUUUGAAAUAUGUUUGUCUAAUGAUAAAACUUGAAAAUUAUACAGUUAUACGCACUUAAAAAAUUGGCCAAGCGAUUGUAGAUCAGUUUUGUUCCAACAAAUUCUAGUAUUAAUUGGCUUGAAUUGAGUUCUAAAUGAUUUUUAAACUUUGUUAAACUUAUUAAGGAAUCCAACGCAUCAAAUUGGAUUUAGAAGAUGACACAUCUCAAAGCAAAACAAUAGGGAAAGGUAUAACAAAUCACAAAUUCAAUGUUAUAAAUAUCAAAAAUUAAACUGAAACAAUCUCAAAUGACAAAAAUUAAAAAGAUUCUAUAGAUAAGGAAAUAAAAGCAAUAAAGAAAAAUAACACAUUGAAAUUAAAUCCCUUCCAAAAGGGAAAAAGGCAAUUGGAGGAAAAUAGGUAAACAAUGAGUCAAAUCCUAUUUUUCGAAAACAACCAAAUGUUUAGAAAACAAUAAUAAAUAAAUAAAUAAAAUGAAAUAAAAUAAAAUAAAUAAGAUCUCCUUUAAGACUAAAUGAUUCCAUUGAAUUGAGUAUGAUUGUAUGUGUGAUAGCAUCAACUAUACUAAGAAUAUCAAUGACCUUUUGGCAACCAACCUUCAAAAUAUAAAGAGGAAAGAUGUGCAAAGAAGAAUCUAAAAGGAGAAAUAGAGAGACACAAAGUAAGAUUAGUGGUUAAGGGUUACAAGCAUCAACUUGUAAACAACACAUUAGCAAUUGCACUAUCAAAAAAAUCCAAUUUUAUAUGUUUGAAACAAUAUAUUGAUACAAAAUAUCAUUUUAUUAGAGAGUACAUGAUGAAGAAGAAAGUAUAAUUAAAUUUGCAAAAUCUCAAGAUUAAAUUGCAAAUAUUUUCACCAAACCUCUCAAGUUUAAAAAUUUCAGAAAGUUAAGUAUGUUACUUGGAGUUACAAAUAAAGUUUAAGGGGAAUAUUGGAAAGUUAAACUUGAUUUAGAAAGUUUCCAAAAAUUAGAACUAGAUUUAGUCUCCACAAUUCAAAGAUAAUAUUUUAUUUUCAAUGGUUGUUUAUAUUUGAGUAGUCAAGUUCUAGAAGGUUAAUUUCUAUAUUUUGUUAUUAGAAUUUUCUAUUUUGUUAAGUGUAAAUAUCUAUAAAUAAGAUUUUAUGUAAUAUUUGAAUAAGAAAGUGUAAAGAUGAAUCUCACCUACGGAUAAUAGCUAGAAGGGGCUAAAUAGAUGUUUUUUAAGACAUCUUAAGAUGGUAUUUCACAAAUGCUUACAAAUCCCUUAUUUUUCUCAAAUGUUUUGGUUUGUUUUUUUUAUUUUAUUAACAAAAAAAAAAAAAAAAAACAAAUCAUAAGUAAUAAUGGAUGCAUCAACACUCUCUCAUUAAGUGAGUCAAUACAAAUCACGUACAAAUGAAUCAACACUCCUCAACUAUAAUGUAUAAGACAUUAUAUGCAUCAACACAAAUCCCAUUUUCGCAUGUCCCUUGACAUUAAUAUCAAAAACUGAAAUAUACCAUAUUCUUUCAAAGCUUCAAUGGUUUAAUUUAAGCUCAUAUUUCAAUUAAACAACAAAUAAUUCAAUAGAAAUAUCAUAAGCUAAUGAAAAACUAAAUAAAAGAUGAGGUAGAAUAGAGAAACAAUGACACCAAUAUUUUAUCAUGGAAAACCUACAAAGGGAGAAAAAACCAUAGACCUCGAGCGAUCAAAUCAUUCACCAUGAAGAAAAUUGACUAAGUACAAGGAUUUACCUAACCCAAACCUUCAAUCCUCUCCCGGUCCACUUGCCUAAAAUCUUCAAACUUUAGCAACCCACUUUCUUCUUCUAGAACACACUUCAAAUCCAUACCAAGUUUGAUCUUGACCUCUUCUUAAAUCCACAUAAGAAGAUAUUUGAGUUUUUACCCCAAAUAAGAUGAAUACAAGCGUAGAGAUGAAACUCACACCGAAUCAACCUAUUUUGAAAGAAAUUUUCUCACUCAAAAAUGAUUUUCAACUCAAACCCAUAAAAUUUUCAGUCAAACCAAACACCCCGAAAACAGGUAAUAGAAUAUGAAGCUCAAGGGAGGCCACCUAUCUCUCUCAGCCCACCCUUCCUCUUAUAAAAAUAGAGCUUACAUAUUAGGGUUUUAAAACCCAUUAAACGGCUGAGAUUUGUUUGGAAAAUAAUGAAGAUUCGUAGUGUGAUCGAAGUCUGAUCACAAGACUGAAAAAAUCUGGGUUCAACAAAAACUGUUACCCUUCAGUUUUAUGUUGUGGUUGAGUACUACUCGAUAAUAGUGAGUGGUAGCAUUUAUGGAGGACCAUCACAUGAUGGUCCAAAUGAGAAGUAGCUAGAUAUGAUACUAAAAAUUGAUGUAAGGUAAUCAAGUAAAAGUUAACGAGUUGGAUCGAAACAGGUUCUGACUUUCUGUACGUAGCUGCAUUUAGAAAUGAAGGUUUUACAGGCAAAGAUGUUUCAGACACUUCUUCACCAAACCCAUGUAUAAAAGGAACAGAUUGAACCGAAAGCUACUUCAUUAUGGUUUUGUGGAGAGUUGCUUUUCUUGAGAAGUUCUAUAUAGGCUUUCUGUUACUUGUGACCUAAGUGCUUCAAAUCAAUCAAUUUGCUUUUCGUGCCAGAAUGAAAGCAUUGAUUAUAUUAGAAGUUCAUGUUCAAGUUUAAAGUAAAGUAAAUAUGUGAAGACAGCUAAAUCGUUUAAGGCAUUUUUUUGUUAUCAAAUCUAAUUCCCUUUAUUUCCCUCCAUUUUUUUUUUCUCAGCUUCUGAGUUCAUGAAAUUACAGUUACAUGGAAUUUGGCCCACAGGAAAUCUCUUUUAGAAAAUCUUAUCUGGUUUACUUCACAAUUUUUGUUUAGAUGUGAAAAUUAAGAACAAUUGCAUGCUGUUGAUCAAGACAUCCAUGUUUAGCAAUUCAUCCUCUCAUUGAAAUAAAUGUAAAUGUUCCAUUUAUUUAAAAGUUUGCGAAUCUUAAGUAGAUGGCAAACAGAUCAAUAAGGUCCAAUAACAGAACAAAUUAAUGGCUAGUAUAUACUGAAAGAGAACUCAAGGGUAUAAAAUAAAAACAAAAUGAUCCAAACUGCAAAGCAUCAUGGCCAUGGCAAGGUCCUUAUUGUUGAACUGGCUGUCUUUCUUUGAUGUUAAUAGUCGUUGUACCCCCAAAAGAUCUUCCUGUUCCUUCUGAUAUCAAUUAUUCAUUCUAUCCUAUAAUCUGCACGGAAAACAGAGGAAUGUUAAAUACUGUAUGAAUGAUGAAAAUGGGAAAUGUGGUCUGUAUUAUAUAUACUUACAUGAAACUAGAAGAGGCAAUUCAUUUAGUAAUAUGGUGGAGGAGGUGAAGGAGAGGAAGGGGGUGGUGACUUGUGGUAGUAGACUGGUGGUUGGGGUGAUGGAGAAGGUAGUGGUGGGGAUUUGUAGAGGUAUGGUGGAAGAGGAGAUGGAGAUGGAGGAGGUGAGGACUUGUAAUAGGAUGGAGAAGGUGGUGGUGGUGAUUUGUAGUAGUAAGGAGGAGGUGGGGAAGGAGAUGGUAGAGGUGGGGACUUAUAGUAAUAAGGAGGUUGAGGAGAUGGUGAUGGAGGAGGAGGUAAUUUAUAGUCGUAGUGAGGAGGGGGUGAUGGUGAAGGUAGUGGUGGUGACUUGUAGUAAUACCACGGAGGAAGAGAUGGAGAUGGAGCCAGAGGUGACAGCGGUGGUAGUGAUUUGUAGUAAUAAGGAGGCAGUGAUGAUGGAAAAGGUGGGAGCGGUGGCAGUGAUUUAUGGUAAUAAGGAGGUAGUGAUGAUGGAAAAGGUGGGAGCGGUGGCCGUGAUUUAUAGUAAUAAGGAGGUAGUGAUGAUGGAAAAGGUGGGGAUGCAAAAGUAUUAGGAUUGUAAGGCUCGUCUUCAGCAGCUACAUUAGCGGCAAUCAAGCACAAAGCCAAGACACAAAUCAGGUGAGGCCAAAAAUUGGCCAUUUCCAGAACACGAGAAAAUUUCACUCCUACAACUCAAGAACUUCUAUUUCUUAGAACAGAAGGGAUUUUGUGAAUGAUGCUUCAAGGUAGAGGCUCAGAGUUUAUAUAGUCAUCCUUUCCAUAAUUCUUUCAUUUGUUUAAUUAGUAGUUGUUGAAGCCUCCAAUCUUUAACAAGUCUACAACUAAAUGGUAUUCCCCUAUUUUCUAUGUGUUACCUGCACAUCUGUCCAUGAAAAGUCAAGAAGAUUAGUAAACAUAUAUAUACAAGAGUGCAUUUCAGUUUUGGUUGUUGGGAGCCUAGAAGCUUCCCCAUAUAUUAUGUCAAAUGUGACUGCCAUCUUUAAGAAUUUACCAUGGAAAACUCAACAUAAAAUAUUACUAUGAAGCAUGUCUACCAAGCAAAAAGCUAGGGCUAUUAGAUCUCCUUCUACCAUAACUUCCUGUUUUUCGAAAAUUUGUCAUACAUUGAAACCUUUUUCAAAACAACAAAAAGAUUUAAUAUUGCAAAUAAUUUACGGGCAUUAAUUAGGAAGGUAAUGCACUAAUAAACCUAAAAUCAAUGCCAAUUUUUCUAGAAAGGCAUCGUUGUCUUUCAAUAACUUCUUAAGCUAGCUAUUUAAUAUUAUAGGACGACUAGGUCUAUGAAUGAGAUCAUCAUAUGCAUUUUCAAUAACAAGUAAUGGACCCUUGUUUUUCCAUUGGAUUUGAGUAACGAUGAAAGUUCUUUAGGAAAAGGAAAGAAACAUAAUUAAUCUCUUAAAUUUCUUCUUCAUGCAUGUUGCUAGAUAAAGGAUUGAUGGGGCAAGCAACAAAGGGAGAUUAUUUAAAGAGAUUUUGUAAUAACUACUUUGGAAUUGGGAGUUGUAGAAAGUGGAAGAGAAAAUGUUCAAGGAAUAGUUCAUUCCUCAAAUGUUCAUCCAUUCCUUUGUAUAGGGUUUUGCCUUUAAAUAUCAACAAAACUGCUCAAGGUGUAUUUGAUAGUAAUUUUAGAAAGUAUUUUUAACCUUUAUAAUACUUAAAAAAAAAAAAAAUUGUUAAGUGUCAAAAAUAUUAAAAACACAUCUUAAAAUCACUACUAAACGGACUCUUAAAAGUUCAUAUGAAAUUAAUCAAAUUAGAUAAGGACAGGUUCUAACCUGUGGACAUAUAUGUAGAACUAAGGUCUUAGAACCGGUGAUGAUGAGAUUGCAAUCACAACUCACAACCAAAUAUCAUACAUACUUGAAAGAAACAAAUUGGAAGGAAAUCUAUUUCAAUAUGAAUUAUAAAGUGUUUUUGUGGUUAAUAUAAAAAAUAAUGACACUACAUGCAACUUACAUAUGUACUUGCUUUAUAUGCUAACGACAUUAUUUAUAUGCUAGAUAUUAACUAGACACCAUCAAUCAAGUCUAUAUAUAUAUAUAUAUUAUUAUUUAUAUCUUUAUACUUUGAUCUCAUUUGUUUAUUUCUUCGUUCAACAACACAAAUCUCAUCAUGCAUGUUUAAUGAUCCGGAUUUAGAGCUCAAUAGAUAUCACUAGGGUAGCUUAGGAUUUUCUUACCUAAAAUUACUAUAAGAAGUACUCAAGGAAAAAGAAAAUGAAUGAUCUAAAAGUGGAUCCCUUGCAACACUUCAAGGAGUCGAGAUUUGUACUUGGUUGGGCUUGGAAUUCUAAUAAUCCUAGUUGGCUGGGCACUUGGCUUUCUAAUAAUUCUAGUUGUCGCAUUAACGGAAACUGUUUGUAACUCAACAGUAUGGACAAUUGAAAUGUUUAUGGAGUAUUGUUAAUCAAAGCUGCCAUGGGAAAAUCUUUUGUUUGAAGCCCUUCACUGGAAUAUUCAAUAAAUAUAGCUAGCGCCACUUUCCCUCAGAAAUAAUUCCCCCCAAUACCUUAAAUGGUAUGCUUAAUUUCUUAUUCACUUUUACACACCUAUUCAUCUUAAUUACCAAAUGCACCCACUUUCUGUUUUUUUUUUCUUUUAACUCAUUAAUGUUUUAAAAAAAAUUGGUAUUAAUCAAAUAUUAAUUUUAAAAUUUUUAAUUAUUUUAAAAAAUUAUCAUAUCGGUUAAGAAAUUUAAUGCAUUAGCUCUCACUUGAUUUGAAAUAUGUUUGUCUAAUGAUAGAACUUGAAAAUUAUAUAGUUACACGCACAUAAAAAAUUGGCCAAGCCAUUGUAGACCGGUUUUGUUCCAACAAAUUCUAGUAUUAAUUGGCUCGAAUCAAGUUCUAAAUGAUUUUUAAAAUUUAUUAAACUUAUUAAGGAAUCCAAUGCAUCAAAUUGGAUUUAGAAGAUGACACAUCUCAAAGCAAAACAAUAGGGAAAGGUAUAAUAAAUCACAAAUUCAAUGUUAUAAAUAUCAAAAAUUAAACUGGAAUAAUCUCAAAUGACAAAAAUUAAGAAGAUUCUAUAGAUAAGGAAAUAAAAGCAAUAACAAAACAUAAUACAUUGAAACUAAAAUCCUUUCCAAAAGAGAAAAAGGCAAUUGGAGGAAAAUGGGUAAACAAUGAGUCAAAUCCUAUUUUUUGAAAACAACCAAAGGUUUAUAAAAUAAUAAUAAAUAAAUAAAUAAAAUGAAAUAAAAUAAAAUAAAUAAGAUCUCCUUUAAGACUAAAUGAUUCCAUUGAAUUGAGUAUGAUUGUGUGUGUGAUAGCAUCAACAGUACUAAGAAUAUCAAUGACCUUUUGGCAACCAACCUUCAAAAUAUAAAGGGGAAAGAUGUGCAAAGAAGAAUGUAAAAGGAGAAAUAUUAGAGAGACACAAAGUAAGAUUAGUGGUUAAGGGUUACAAGCAUCAACUUGUAAACAACAAAUUAGCAAUUGCACUAUCAAAAAAUCCAAUUUUAUAUGUUUGAAACAAGAUAUCAAUACAAAAUAUCAUUUUAUUAGAGAGUGCAUAAUGAAGAAGAAAGUAUAAUUAAAUUUGCAAAAUCUCAAGAUUAAAUUGCAAAUAUUUUUACCAAACCUCUCAAGUUUAAAAAUUUUAGAAAGUUAAGUAUAUUACUUGGAGUUACAAAUAAAGUUUAAGGGGGAUAUUGGAAAGUUAAACUUGAUUUAGAAAGUUUCCAAAACUUAGAACUAGAUUUAGUCUCCACAAUUCAAAGAUAAUAUUUUAUUUUCAAUGGUUGUUUAUAUUUGAGUAGUCAAGUCCUAGAAGGUUAAUUUCUAUAUUUUGUUAUUAGAAUUUUCUAUUUUGUUAAGUGUAAAUAUCUAUAAAUAAGAUUUUAUGUAAUAUUUGAAUAAGAAAGUGUGAAGAUGAAUCUCACCUAUGGAUAACAGCUAGAGGGGGCUAAAUAGAUGUUUUUUAAAACAACUUAAGAUGGUAUCUCACAAAUGCUUACAAAUCCCUUAUUUUUCUCAAAUGUUUUGGUUUGUUUUUUUUUAUCUUAUUAAAAAAAAAACAAAUCAUAAGUAAUAAUGGAUGCAUCAACACUCUCUCAUUAAGUGAGUCAAUGCAAAUCACAUACAAAUGAAUCAACACUCCUCAACUAUAAUGUAUAAGACAUUAUAUGCAUCGACACAAAUCCCAUUUUCGCAUGUCCCAUGACAUUAAUAUCAAAAACUGAAAUAUACCAUAUUCUAUCAAAGCUUCAAUGGUUUAAUUUAAGCUCAUAUCUCAAUUAAACAACAAAAUAAUUCAAUAGAAAUAUCAUAAGCUAAUGAAAAACUAAUUAAAAGAUGAGGUAGAAUAGACAUAUAAGGGAAGCAGCCUAAAAUCAUGCCUAUCAUUCAAUUCUAUAUUCUGUCAUAUAGCUGUAUAUUGUAACAGUAGCAUAGAUUUAGCCUUACCGUUUCUAAAUUUGAAUCAUAUAGUUGUAUAUUGUAACGGUAGCAUCCUUAUCGUGUAUAUGUUUCUUAAACUAGCUUCUUAAUCACUUUAUAUAAUAGAGUUUCCAUCAAUAAAAUGAGUUGGAAAUUCUUCAUUGAAACUACGACAAUAUUUUUUUCUUUAUAUGGUAUCAGAGCACUGAUCUCAAAUGAGCCAUCGAUCCAAGUUAUCACCAUGCCUUCCUCCUCUGAUCAAACUCCAAACUUUAAUCUCAAUACUCAACUUCCAUCUGCAGUCGAUAAACCCCUAAUUGCUCUCAAUAUCACAACCCAAAUCAAUGAAAAAUUAACUCCCUCCACAUUUUCUCAAUGGUGUGCUCAAUUUGAAGCACUCAUUAUUGGUUACGAUUUACUCAACUAUGUUGAAGGCACCAUUCGGUGCCCUUCCUCUACUGCUACUCCUACUGAUGAGUUGCACAAAACCCAUUGGGUCCGAUAGGAUAAACUUAUCUUGAGUGCUAUUCUAGCCUCCACAUCUUCUUCAAUCACACCACUCAUUGCUACGUCAAAGACCUCCCAUGAAGCUUGGAAAAAAUUAAAACCUCUAUAUGCUACCCGAUCAAGAACACAUGCUAUGCAAUUAAAGGAGGAACUCACCUUAAUCCAGCGAGGAGAUCGGUCGAUUAUAGAAUGCAUCCAUCCUCUAAAGUCCUUGGCCAAUGAAAUAACCAUUAUUGAUCAUUCAAUUUCGGAUGAUGACCUAACCCUUUGUGUGUUGAAUGGCUUAGGUCUAGAUUUUCGAGAGAUUGUUGUGCAUAUCUGAGCUCGAGAAUCAUCACUGGCUUUUGAGGAGUUGCAUGAUCUUUUGGUUGGACACGAGGCAUACUUAUGACGCAUAGGAGUUGCGAUGCAGAACCUAGUUGCUUCUGCAAAUUUCAUAAAGAUGACGAAGUAGUCUCCACAAUGAGGAAGUCACCCGUGGUCUUUCAAGCAAACUAGCUUUCACCAUGAGCCUCGAGGUUCUCAACAAAGCUGCAACUCAAAUGGAGCCCAACGUGAUGGAUGUCGCUCCAACAAUAACUCUAGGCGACCCAACAACUCCAAUUGGUGUUACCAGCCCAAAUGUCAAAUUUAUGACCAAUUGGGCCACACUGCAAAGUUCUGUCCUCAACUCCAUUCAUAGAAUGCCUCCAUCAAUUGUGCUGCAAUCUCUACUGGCAAGGACAAAAAUUGGUUACUUGAUUCGACUAUUUCUCAUAAUAUCACGGGUGAUCUUUCCAACUUAUCUAUUCACUCCGAAUAUGAUGGAAUUGACAAAGUAAUUCUCAGUAAUGGUUCAAGUUUGGUUGUCUCACACAUCGGUUUUUUGGAUUUACACUCCCCUCAUCGAAAUUUUACAUUGCAUGAUACUCUUUGUGUUCCAAAUCUUUGCAGAAAUUUAAUUUCCGUUCAUCAUCUCACCAAACAAAACAAUGUCUUGGUUGAAUUUCACCAUUUUCAUUUUCUUGUGAAGAACAAGAUCACGGGGGCAAUCCUACUAAGAAGAGCAUGUAACAAUGGCAUCUACACUUUUCCGACAUCAAUGGUGGCAUAAAAAAAUAUUGCUAAUGUGCAUGAACACAGAUGGAUGGCACAAGCGUCUUGGGAUUCCUUCUACUAAAAUUGCCCAUCAUCUUGUCAAUAAAUUUUCUCUUCCUAUGUCCUUGAACAAAAAGUUUAUCUUCAUUAUGUUCUUCAUGUUCUAUUAAUAAAGCACAUCAACAACCACUUUGUGUCACUAGUCUCCAAAGUCAUGAGCCACUUGACCUUAUUUACACGGAUGUGUGGGGUCCCGCUAGUUAUACUGGAAUUGAUGGAUCACGAUAUUACCUUAUUUUUGUUGAUCAUUAUACAAAAUAUAUAUGAUUUUAUCCAAUGGUCACAAAAUCCAAUGUUUCUAAUAUUUUCCCGCAUUUCAAAAAGUUUGUUGAAACUUGUUUUUAAAAAUCUAUUAAAACACUUUACUUCAAAAAUGGUGGUGAGUUUAUCGCUUUAAAAUCUUAUUUAUUACUUCAUGGCAUAACUCACUACACCACUGCUCCACACACUCAACAACAAAAUGGUGUCUUUGAACGUUAUCACUGUCAUCUCGUUGAAACGAACCUUACACUUCUUCAUGAUGCAAAUCUUGCUUUCUCAUAUUGGCCCUAUGCUUUUCAAACAACUUCUUAUCUCAUAAAUAAACAACCAAUGCCUUUCCUCCAAGAAAAAAAUACCUUUUGAAGCCCUUUUUGGUCAACCACCCAAUUACUUGAAAUUAAAAAAAUUUGGGUGCAUUUGUUAGCCCCUCACACGAGCCUAUAAUUCAAAUAAAAUGCAGCCCAAAUCCAAAGUCUGCAUUUUUCUCGGUUAUUCACCAACCCAAAACGCAUACAAGUGUUUUGAACCUCAAACAAAAAAUUCUUUCUCUCACGGCAUGUGUUAUUUGAUGAAAAUCUAACAUAUUCCAGUCUAUCCUAAACUGCGUCUUCCAUAACAACCCAACCCACUCGAGAAUCUCACAUUUUUUUUCAUUUUUUCUUCUUCAAUUCUCAGCAGGCUGUCGUGUCUCCAUCACAGUUGUCCGGUACACCUAUCUCAUCGUUGUCUCCGGAAGGUCCGCCUACCAUUGUUGCGUCUUCCUUAGGUGAUUUCGGACCCUCUGCUCCUUUCUUUCAUGAUUGCUUGCAAACCCUAGAUCACAACACCACCCACUUGAAUUUUCCUUUACAUGACACUCAGACUGGUCCUUCUUUAAAUUUGCAAUCACGCUCUCAUGAUCAGCAUCUAGGUCUAGCUAAUACUUCCAAUUUUCCAACCCCUACCGAAACCAAUAAUUUUCCCCAACGCACUCAUACCAUGACCAUAAGAUCAAUGUACCAAAUCUUCAAACCCAAACAACUCCACACUGUGUCAAAAUAUCCUCUCUCCUCGACCAUUGAACCAACCAAUGUGAGCCAAGCCAUUUCUCAACCUCAUUGGCGUGAGGUCAUGUCUAAUGAGCUUACUGCUCUAAUGAAACAUAGGACUUGGGACAUAGUUUUACCACCUUCAAACUGUAAACCCGUGGGUUGUAAAUGGGUAUUUUGAGUAAAAAGAAAAGCUGAUGGGUCAGUGGACAGGUUCAAAGUCUGUCUAGUUGCUAAGGGCUAUAAUCAACGUCUUGGUGUUGAUUACAAAGACACUUUUAGUCUUGUCAUCAAACCAACAACUAUUAGAUUUGUCCUAUCUAUUGUAGUCAUGAAUGGAUGGGUUUUGAGGCAACUGAAUAUCAACAAUGCUUUUCUAAAUGGUGAAUUAUCUGAGACUGUGUUUAUGGCAUAACCCCCAGGGUUCAAAGAUUUGUCCAAACCUAAUCAUGUUUGCAAGUUAAAAAAAUGCCAUCUAUGGGCUUAAAUAAGCCCCGCGAGCUUGGUACACAAUGCUAAAAAAUGCCAUUCUUCAGUUGGGUUUUCAUAAUUCCAAAGUGGAUUCCUCUCUCUUCAUUUACAACCAUGGUUCCAAUCUUUAUUAUUUCUACAGGGAAUAAUUUCAUACUUAUGGCCACUAUUAUGAAGCAGCUGGGUGACAUGUUUUCUCUCAAAGAUAUGGGUUCUCUUCAUUUUUUCUUAGGAAUUGAAGUAAUUCCUACUCGGGCAGGAUUAUUCCUCUCACAACAUAAAUAUGUUCAUGAACUUUUAGCCCACACCAGUAUGAGUAGUGCAAAAGAUGUCUCCAUACCUCUCUCUACCACUCAAUCUCUUCAACUGGUUGAUGGCAUUGUUGCUGUGGACAACUCAGAGUUCUGUAAAAUCAUUGGCAGCCUUCAAUACCUUUCUUUGACGCAUCCAGAUAUCUCAUUUGCAGUAAAAAAAACUCUCGCAAUUUAUGCACAAGCCGACUACAAAUCACUGGACAGAAACCAAACGACUCAUUCGAUACUUAAAACAAACCAUUUUUUUAUGGUAUUCAAAUCAACAAAGCUGGAACUCCAGUAUUAAGAACAUACUCAGAUGUAGAUUGGGCUGGAAAUGUGGACGACUGCACGUCCACCUCUGCUUCUAUCAAUUUUUUGGGAUCUAACCAAAUUUCUUGGAGCUCAAAGAAACAAAGAGCAGUUGCAAGAUCCUCAAUAGAAGUUGAAUACCGAGACUAGCAACUGCGGCUUCCGAGACAAUGUGGAUGUCUACUCUCUUCAAAGAACUAGCAUUUCCAAUCAAAGAAUCUCCCCAAUUGUUAUGUGACAACCUUGGAGCCACACAUCUCAGUUUUAACUCGGUUAAUCAUUCACGCAUGAAACACAUUCAAAUUGACCUUCACUUUGUGCGUGACUUAGUGCAAAAAGGAAGCAUCCAAGUCAGCCAUGUACAUACUCAAGACCAAUUAGCUUAUCUGUUAGCAAAGUCGUUGUCCAAACAACGCACAGAAUUGUUACGCAACAACAUUGUCCUUACCGAUGGAAGCCCUAUCUUGCAGGGGUGUAUAAGGGAAACAUCCUAAAAUCAUGCCUAUCAUUCAAUUCUAUAUUCUGUCAUAUAGUUGUAUAUUGUAACAGUAGCAUCCUUACCGUGUAUAAGUUUCCUAAACUAGCUUCUCAAUCACUCUAUAUAACAGAGUUUCUAUCAAUAAAAUGAGUGGGAAAUUCUUCAUUGAAACUACGACAAUAUUUGUUUCUCUAUAAGAGAAACGGUGACACCAAUAUUUUAGCAUGGAAAACCUAAAAAAAGGAGAAAAAACCAUAGACCUCUAGCGAUCAAAUCAUUCACCAUGAAGAAAAUUAACUAAGUACAAGGAUUUACCUAACCCAAACUUUCAAUCCUCUCUUGGUCCACUUGCCUAAAAUCUUCAGACUUUAGCAACCCACUUUCUUCUUCUAGAACACACUUCAAAUCCAUACUAAGUUUGAUCUUGACCUCUUCUUAAAUCCACAUAAGAAGAUAUUUGAGUUUUUACCCCAAAUAAGAUGAAUAUAAGCGUAAAGAUGAAACUCACACUGAAUCAACCUAUUUUGAAAGAAAUUUUUUCACUUAAAAAUGAAUUUCAACUCAAACCCAUAAAAUUUUCAUUCAAACCAAACACCUCAAAAACAGGUAAAAGAAUAUGAAGCUCAAGAGAGGCCACCUAUCUCUUUCAGCCCGCCCUUCCUCUUAUAGAAAUAGAGCUUAAAUAUUAGGGUUUUAAAACCCAUUAAACGGAUGAGAUUUGUUUGGAAAAUAAUGAAGAUUCAUAGUGUGAUCGAAACCUGAUCACAAGACUGAAAAAAUCUGGGUUCAACAAAAACUGUUACCCUUCAGUUUUAUGUUGUGGUUGAGUACUACUCGAUAAUAGUGAGUGAUAUCAUUUAUGGAGGACCAUCACAUGAUGGUCCAAAUGAGAAGUAGAUAUGAUACUAAAAAUUGAUGUAAGGUAAUGUCCCGUCCCAAGACCCACUCCAAGGGCAUGAAGGUCAUUUCACACCUCAAACCCAAAGGCUUAAAGUGUAACCUGACCCAAACAAUUAUCUUAUAACUGGAAGUUACCAAUUACCAAAUACCUGUUUAGAGUAGCAAAAUAAAAUUCUAAAAUCUUCAAAACUUAACUUUAAAACUAAGCAUCCAUCAACCAAAAUCCAUUUUCCAAAUAAAUUGCAAACUCAAACAAUUCAAGUGCUAACAAAAAUUUUCAUAAUCUCCAAAUCUCAACUUCAAACUAUCAAAAAAAAUUUAAAAGUUCAAUAUCUAAAUAGCUUCCAAAAACCAAAUAAUCCAAAUGAACAUAAACUUAUAAGCUAACAAUGUCCAAAAAUAACAUCCUAAGCAAAAUCCUAAUGAUGACCAUUCCCCGACCUAGCCAUCACUCAUCGCCCGAACUAAGUGUACCUGAAAAAUUAUCAACAAAAGAGAAUGAGCUCAAAGCCCAAUAAGGAACAUUAUUAUAGUCCAUGGAUCAAAUAUUUCAAGUUCACUUGUAAAAUAGGAGAUAUUAUAACUAAUUAUUUUCAUAAACCUUUGAGUCAGUUUUGUCAAUACAUUCAAAACUUUUAAUUGAACACUUUCAUUUCUGAUUCAAACAUUUUCAUAUCAAAUUCAGUCAAAACAUUCAAAUCAUUUAUUUACUUUGGUCAUCAAACAUUAAAUGAUGUCCAAUUAGGUGAGACUUUUCAAAUAAGUGGCUAGCCUCAAAUUGUUCAUUUAAGGUGGACGAAACCAAACACUACUAGUACUAGUAACCUCUAACCAAACCCCUAGAGGUUGGGGUCCAAAUCAAUUACAUUCCCCACCAAGAAAUGUAAAUGUCAACUAUUAUAUUUCGUCGACAAGGGUCAAACAAACCAAAAUCAAACACUUAUUUCAAUUAUUCAAAUUUGCAAAACAUAAUAUCUCCAUAUUUCUCUGUUGUGAACAAAAUGUAAGGUUCUAACAUACUUUUCAUGCAAAACAUAUUUGAUUCAUGCAUAAAACGAAUAAUAACUCAAAGCGUUUCCAAAUGAUGUAUAUAAAAAUUUGUUUCUAAAAAAAAAAAAAAACCUGCAUUAAUUUCCCUUACCUCAAAAGAAGUCUUCAAAAACUUAGGAGAAAAAUAAUUCUUAAAAAUCUACUCCUCACCUAACAAAGUAUAAGAGAAAUAACCAUUAUUAUUUAUCUAAAAUUAUAGGUUUGACAAUCCUAAAAGGUAUUCAAAUUAAUGUUUUUAAUUAUAAAAGAUAAUUUAAUCUAUUCCUAUUUUAGAAAAAUUAAUAAAUUUCUAAUUCAUAUAAAACUUAAAUUUUAUUUUCAAUUUAUUUCUUAGGAUACAACAUAAUUUAAUUAAACUACAAUUUAUUCUACUAAUUAAAUUUUAUGCCACUUAUUAACUUACACUCAUCAUUAGUAUAAUAAUAUUGAUAACUUCUAUUCUCUUUCUUUCAAUUUUUUUUUUCCACUAAACAUAAAUUGUAACCCUAACAAUUCUCCAUUAUUGCUAACAUAAUAAUGUAAAGAUAUUUAUUAACCACCAAACACCAUCCGUACACAUCUUCCUUUAUUAUUAAUAUUACUAUUUUUUUUCUUUUAAAAAAAAUAAAAAAUUCCUCCAGUGCAAGUGUGUUCUUUUUUUUUCCCCUAAUGUUUUCUAAUCCCUUAACCCACAUAUAAUAAUAUAUUUAUUUACUCAUUUAUUUAUUUAUUUUUAAAAAAAUCAUUACUUAGAUCUAUUCAUCUAAAAAAUUUUGAAUUUCCCUUAUUUCAACAAUAGAACAAUCUAUAUUCCCAAUUUCAAUAUUUUGACCUAAAAGUUUUAAAUAGGUUAAGUCUAGCCUAAAUUGAAAUCUUUCAAAGAAAUUUUUUUUUUUUUCAAAAACUUAAGAUUUCCCAAUUUUUAAUAAUAAAACCACCAAUAAUCCUAAAUUUCUAAUAUUUUGAUAUUAAAACGAAUUAAAAAAAAAACUAACCCUAAUCUAAAUUAAAAAAAUAAAAUUCAAAGAAUAACUAACGUGUUUAGAACUAACUAUUGAAUAUAAUAUAUUAAUUUAAGAUUAGAAUCUUACCUAGAAAAAAAACCUGAAUUUCAACUUUAAAUCUCUAACCCUUGAGCCCUACGAACUCCAAUUCUCUACUUCUAGUUAAUAGGGUUUUCUGAACGAAGAAGAAAAGAGGAAAAAUCCAAUUUAUACCUAGGAUUUUUAAUUGUAAAAUGACUCUUUCACCCUCAAUGAAUUUAAUUAAUUAUUUAAUUACUUUAUAAAUUACUAGUUUGCCCCUAGAUUAAAUUUUGGGGUGUUACAGGUAAUCAAGUAAAAGUUAACGAGUUGGAUCGAAACAGGUUCUGACUUUCUGUAGCUGCAUUUAGAAAUGAAGGUUUUACAGGUAAAGAUGUUUCAGACACUUCUUCACCAAAACCCAUGUGUAAAAGGAACAGAUUGAACCGAAAGCUACUUCAUUAUGGUUUUGUGGAGAGUUGCUUUUCUUGAGAAGUUCUAUAUAGGCUUUCAGUUACUUGUGACCUAUUGUGCUUCAAAUCAAUCAAUUUGAUUUUCGUGCCAGAAUGAAAGCAUUGAUUAUACUAGAAGUUCAUGUUCAAGUUUAAAGUAAAGUAAAUAUGCGAAGACUGUUUUUUGUUAUCAAACCUAAUUCCCUUUUUUUUCCUCCAUUUUUUUUUUUCUCAGCUUCUGAGUUCAUGAAAUUACAGUUACAUGGAAUUUGGCCCACAGGAAAUCUCUUUUAGAAAAUCUUAUCCGGUUUACUUCACAAUUUUUUUUUUAAAUGUGAAAAUUAAGAACAAUUGCAUGCUGUUGAUCAAGACAUCCAUGUUUAGCAAUUCAUCCUCUCAUUGAAAUAAAUGUAAAUGUUCCAUUUAUUUAAAAGUUUGCGAAUCUUAAGUAGAUGGCAAACAGAUCAAUAAGGUCCAAUAACAGAACAAAUUAAUGGCUAGUAUAUACUGAAAGAGAACUCAAGGGUAUAAAAUAAAAACAAAAUGAUCCAAACUGCAAAGCAUCAUGGCCAUGGCAAGGUCCUUAUUGUUGAACUGGAUGUCUUUCUUUGAUGUUAAUAGUCGUUGUACCCCCAAAAGAUCUUCCUGUUCCUUCUGAUAUCAAUUAUUCAUUCUAUCUAUCCUAUAAUCUGCACGGAAAACAGAGGAAUGUUAAAUACUGUAUGAAUGAUGAAAAUGAGAAAUGUGGUCUGUAUUAUUAUAUAUACUUACAUGAAACUAGAAGAGGCAAUUCAUUUAGUAAUAUGGUGGAGGAGGUGAAGGAGAGGAAGGGGGUGGUGACUUGUGGUGGUAGACUGGUGGUUGGGAUGAUGGAGAAGGUAGUGGUGGGGACUUAUAGUAAUAAGGAGGUUGAGGAGAUGGUGAUGGAGGAGGAGGUAAUUUAUAGUCGUAGUGAGGAGGGGGUGAUGGUGAAGGUAGUGGUGGUGACUUGUAGUAAUACCACGGAGGAAGAGAUGGAGAGGGAGCCAGAGGUGACAUCGGUGGUAGUGAUUUAUAGUAAUAAGGAGGCAGUGAUGAUGGAAAAGGUGGGAGCGGUGGCAGUGAUGAUGGAAAAGGUGGGAGCGGUGGCCGUGAUUUAUAGUAAUAAGGAGGUAGUGAUGAUGGAAAAGGUGGGGAUGCAAAAGUAUUAGGAUUGUGAGGCUCGUCUUCAGCAGCUACAUUAGCAGCAAUCAAGCACAAAGCCAAGGCACAAAUCAGGUGAGGCCAAAAAUUGGCCAUUUCCGGAACACGAGAAAAUUUCACUCCUGCAACUCAAGAACUUCUAUUUCUUAGAACAGAAGGGAUUUUGUGAAUGAUGCUUCAAGCUAGAGGCUCAGAGUUUAUAUAGUCAUCCUUUCCAUAAUUCUUUCAUUUGUUUAAUUAAUAGUCGUUGAAGCCUCC
rnacentral:lncRNA from 1 species